rnacentral:rRNA from 1 species
GACGAACGCUGGCGGCGUGCUUAACACAUGCAAGUCGAACGGAAAGGCCCUGCUUUUGUGGGGUGCUCGAGUGGCGAACGGGUGAGUAACACGUGAGUAACCUGUCCUUGACUUUGGGAUAACUUCAGGAAACUGGGGCUAAUACCGGAUAGGAGCUCCUGCUGCAUGGUGGGGGUUGGAAAGUUUCGGCGGUUGGGGAUGGACUCGCGGCUUAUCAGCUUGUUGGUGGGGUAGUGGCUUACCAAGGCUUUGACGGGUAGCCGGCCUGAGAGGGUGACCGGCCACAUUGGGACUGAGAUACGGCCCAGACUCCUACAGGAGGCAGCAGUGGGGAAUAUUGCACAAUGGGCGGAAGCCUGAUGCAGCAACGCCGCGUGCGGGAUGACGGCCUUCGGGUUGUAAACCGCUUUCGCCUGUGACGAAGCGUGAGUGACGGUAAUGGGUAAAGAAGCACCGGCUAACUACGUG